GAGUUUGAUCUUGGCUCAGAUUGAACGCUGGCGGCCAUGGCCUUACACAUGCAAGUCGAACGGCAGCACGGGAGCUUGCUCCUGGUGGCGAGUGGCGAACGGGUGAGUAAUGCAUCGGAACGUAUCCUGGAGUGGGGGAUAACGUAGCGAAAGUUACGCUAAUACCGCAUAUUCUGUGAGCAGGAAAGCGGGGGACCUUCGGGCCUCGCGCUCUUGGAGCGGCCGAUGUCGGAUUAGCUAGUUGGUGAGGUAAAGGCUCACCAAGGCGACGAUCCGUAGCAGGUCUGAGAGGAUGAUCUGCCACACUGGAACUGAGACACGGUCCAGACUCCUACGGGAGGCAGCAGUGGGGAAUUUUGGACAAUGGGGGCAACCCUGAUCCAGCCAUGCCGCGUGAGUGAAGAAGGCCUCGG
rnacentral:rRNA from 1 species